rnacentral:misc_RNA from 1 species
CCAAUAGCGUAUAUUAAAGUUGUUGCAGUUAAAAAGCUCGUAGUUGAAUUUCGGGAUCAGUACGCUGGUCGUGCCUUCGGUAUGUACUGGUGUUACUGGUUCCUACCUUCUGACGAACCGUCAUGUCAUUAAUUUGGUGUGGCGGGAAAUCAGGACUGUUACUUUGAAAAAAUUCGAGUGUUUAAAGCAGGCUCGCGCUUGAAUACAUUAGCAUGAAAUAAUGAAAUAGGACGUUCGAUCCUAUUUUGUUUGUUUCUAGGAUUGACGUAAUGAUUAAUAGGGAUAGUUGGGGGCAUUAGUAUUCAAUUGUCAGAGGUGAAAUUCUUGGAUUUAUUGAAGACUAACUACUGCGAAAGCAUUUGCCAAGGAUGUUUUCAUUAAUCAAGAACGAAAGUUAGGGGAUCGAAGACGAUCAGAUACCGUCGUAGUCUUAACCAUAAACUAUGCCGACUAGGGAUCGGAUGAUGUUAUUUUUAAUGACUCAUUCGGCGCCUUACG